CUAAUACUCCCUCCGUCCGAAAAUACUUGUCAUCAAAAUGAAUAAAAAGGGGUGUAUCUAGAACUAAAAUACGUCUAGAUACAUCUCCUUUCAUCCAUUUUGAUGACAAGUAUUUGCAGACGGAGGGAGCACUAG
rfam:Triticum aestivum genome assembly, contig: Triticum_aestivum_CS42_TGACv1_scaffold_404911_5BL